UCAGUUGUUUAUUUUUAUUUUAUAUCGUAAAUUACUUUAGUUUCGUGCAUUUUUUUAUGUUUCCGAUUAAGGCCUUAUGCAACAAUCAUUUCAACUAGCAGUAGUAUGACCUUAAGAGCAUAAAACUUCACUAUUUUAAAGCCAAAAUUCCAAAAUUGUGCACUUUAUGCUAAUGGCGUUCUCCAUUAGCUUCUAUUUGAAAUCCCAA
rnacentral:lncRNA from 1 species